AACGAACGCUGGCGGCGCGCCUAAUACAUGCAAGUCGAGCGAGAAGACGUAGCAAUACGUUUGUAAAGCGGCGAACGGGUGAGGAAUACAUGGGUAACCUACCCUAGAGUGGGGAAUAACUAGCCGAAAGGUUAGCUAAUACCGCGUACGCUCCUUGGACUUCGGUUCAGGGAGGAAAGCGAUGCCGAGGGUAUCGCGCUCUUGGAUGGGCUCAUGUCCUAUCAGCUUGUUGGGAGGUAACGGCUCACCAAGGCUUCGACGGGUAGCUGGUCUGAGAGGACGAUCAGCCACACUGGCACUGCGACACGGCCCAGACUCCUACGGGAGGCAGCAGUGGGGAAUCUUGCGCAAUGGGCGAAAGCCUGACGCAGCGACGCCGCGUGAGGGGAUGAC
rnacentral:rRNA from 1 species